GGAUGUGAUGGCGAUCUGGUUGCGACAUCUGUCACCCUAUAGAUCGCCAGUGUUGAUUUGGCUGAUCUGGCUGGCUAGGCGGGUGUCCCCUUCCUCCCUCACUGCUCCAUGUGCAUCCCUCCUGAAGCUGCAUGCAAGGUCAAAGAGGAUGACCUAGAGGAGAGGACCCUUCUUCAGUCAAGGGUAUAGGAGUAGCUGUGCUCCCCAGCUAGGACCUCCAAACAAGCUCUCAAGGUCCAUUUGUAGGAGAACGUGGGAGAGUCGAGACUCCAGACACAUCCAAAUAAGGCGCUGCUGCGCAUAACAGUCUGCCUUU
rnacentral:snRNA from 1 species